CCUACGGGAGGGCAGCAGUGGGGAAGUAAUUGCACAAUGGGCGCAAGCCUGAUGCAGCAACGCCGCGUGAGGGACGACGGCCUUCGGGUUGUAAACCUCUUUUAGUAGGGAAGAAGCGAAAGUGACGGUACCUGCAGAAAAAGCACCGGCUAACUACGUGCCAGCAGCCGCGGUAAUACGUAGGGUGCAAGCGUUGUCCGGAAUUAUUGGGCGUAAAGAGCUCGUAGGCGGUUUGUCGCGUCUGCUGUGAAAAACCCCGAGGCUCAACCUCGGGCCUGCAGUGGGUACGGGCAGACUAGAGUGCGGUAGGGGAGAUUGGAAUUCCUGGUGUAGCGGUGGAAUGCGCAGAUAUCAGGAGGAACACCGAUGGCGAAGGCAGAUCUCUGGGCCGUAACUGACGCUGAGGAGCGAAAGCAUGGGGAGCGAACAGGAUUAGAUACCCUGGUAGUCCAUGCCGUAAACGUUGGGAACUAGAUGUAGGGACCCAUUCCACGGUUUCUGUGUCGCAGCUAACGCAUUAAGUUCCCCGCCUGGGGAGUACGGCCGCAAGGCUAAACUAAANAGAAUGACCGNNGAGUCGNGCGAGCACAGAGGAGAG
rnacentral:rRNA from 1 species